rnacentral:rRNA from 1 species
AGUGAACGCUGGCGGUAGGCCUAACACAUGCAAGUCGAACGGCAGCACAGUAAGAGCUUGCUCUUACGGGUGGCGAGUGGCGGACAGGUGAGGAAUACAUCGGAAUCUACUUUUUCGUGGGGGAUAACGUAGGGAAACUUACGCUAAUACCGCAUACGACCUACGGGUGAAAGCAGGGGAUCUUCGGACCUUGCGCGAUUGAAUGAGCCGAUGUCGGAUUAGCUAGUUGGCGGGGUAAAGGCCCACCAAGGCGACGAUCCGUAGCUGGUCUGAGAGGAUGAUCAGCCACACUGGAACUGAGACACGGUCCAGACUCCUACGGGAGGCAGCAGUGGGGAAUAUUGGACAAUGGGCGCAAGCCUGAUCCAGCCAUACUGCGUGGGUGAAGAAGGCCUUCGGGUUGGAAAGCCCUUUUGUUGGGAAAGAAAAGCAGCAGGUUAAUACCCCGCUGUUCUGACGGUACCCAAAGAAUAAGCACCGGCUAACUUCG